AGGAAAUAGGGGGAGGGGGCAGCCCCAGGCCUUGGAACAAUGCUAUGGGGAA
rfam:Rattus norvegicus chromosome 6, whole genome shotgun sequence.